rfam:Schistosoma mansoni, Puerto Rico, WGS project CABG01000000 data, contig: 0010
AUCCAGCUGACGAGUCCCAAAUAGGACGAAACGCGUAACGUAGAU